UACGGAGGGAGCUAGCGUUGUUCGGAAUUACUGGGCGUAAAGCGCACGUAGGCGGCUUUUUAAGUCAGGGGUGAAAUCCCGGGGCUCAACCCCGGAACUGCCCUUGAAACUGGAGAGCUAGAAUCUUGGAGAGGCGAGUGGAAUUCCGAGUGUAGAGGUGAAAUUCGUAGAUAUCGGAAGAACACCAGUGGCGAAGGCGCCUCUGGGCAAG
rnacentral:rRNA from 1 species